CCGUGUUUGUGCGGUUCGGCUCUGGGCUGCUGCUCAAGACGACACAAGGCAAUGGUGAUGAAAUGAAUUUUAUUAUAUGAAGAAUGAAGCUGUUGCUGAGGUCAAACCUGAGAAGGGAAAGAAUGUUUCCAGCUCAGCAGCAGCAAGUGGAGUCAUAAAAAUUAAACUCAAGAAUUUAUAAAGUAAAGAGGCAGAUGGAAACAGAUUAGAAAAAUGGCCAUACCUGAGAAGGGAAAGAAUGUUUCCAGCUCAGCAACAGCAAGUGGAGUGAGGUGGAAAACAGGUGGCCAAAGGAUGUAAGGUCAGAGGACACAAUAGCCAAUUAGAAAGUAGGUAGCACAUAGAAGGAAGUUUUUGAUGUGACCUGUUAAUAGAAAAGGGAAAAUCCCAAAGAAUGGGUUACCUGGCUAAGAAUAGAGAAGAAGUGAAGGGAAAUCCUUGUUGACAAGGGUACAUGAAACAGAAGGAAAAGGUGAAGAUGUACAGAGGCGGCAUUCAACGGCAAGACUCGGACAACAUGGAACAAAUGAACAUUUAACAUUUGAUGAUAUUUAUGAAACAUGAUGAAAUGAAUUAAGAUGUGAUUUAGCACUAAA